rnacentral:tRNA from 1 species
GAGUUAGUAACUUAAUUGGUAAAGGACCUUCUUGUCGAGGAGGUAGAUGCCGGAUCGUAACCGGUCUAACUCG